UACGAAGGGGGCUAGCGUUGCUCGGAAUUACUGGGCGUAAAGGGCGCGUAGGCGGAUGUUUGAAGUCGGGGGUGAAAGCCCGGGGCUCAACCCCGGAAUUGCCUUCGAUACUGGACAUCGUUGAGUACGGGAGAGGUGAGUGGAACUCCGAGUGUAGAGGUGAAAUUCGUAGAUAUUCGGAAGAACACCAGUGGCGAAGGCGACUCACUGGCCCGUUACUGACGCUGAGGCGGCGAAAAGCGUGGGGAGCAAACAGG
rnacentral:rRNA from 1 species